GAAGAAGUAGAAGCCAGGUGUAAAUCUUUAACUAUUAUUGAGGGGAGGCGCCAGGAGGGAGGCUCCUUGAUGGGUGUGGUUUCCACAGGUCACGUGUCCACAUGUUUAGGGUGUAGUUAAAGGAAGUCCUGUAUUUAAACUAAAGUACGAGGAUUAAGAGCUGCAGUGACUCGUUGUGGAUAAAGGUCUCACCAGGUGCAACCAUGUCGUUCAACCUUAAUGAAGCUGUUGGUGGUGAUGAAGAGGUGAAGAAAGACGAGGCCCAAAAAGACCAGUUUAUCUGGGACAAGAAGAAAAAGGACAAGGACAGUGACUCUAAAGACAAGAAAAAAGAAAAGAGCGACAAAACCCACAAAGACGAUGAUUGCAAGAAAGACAAGAAGAAAGACAAGAAGAAAGACAAGGGUGAUGAUGGAGGAAAGAGUCAUGGCAAAGACAAAAAGAAGAAAAACAAGAGUCAUGACAAGGAGAAGAAGAAAGAUGGGAAGGGCUCAUCAUCCUCCUCUUCAUCCUCUUCCUGCUCCAGUGGUGAUGAGCACUGAUCCUUCCUGAAGACCGGCCUGUCUCAUCUUUAAUGUUAUUGAUCAUUGAAUGACUAUUGUAUACUUGUGUUGUCCAUGAUUACAGUGACUAAUGGUGGUGGUGUUAUGAAAUAUAAAACAUCUGAUGAUACAGCCUUUUUUUUUUACGCAUACACCACAUGAUGGCGCUAUUUCUUCCUCUGCAGAUAAAGCAAAGUGUUCCAUAGUUGUUAAAUCUCUCUCCAACAUUGGUUCUUCAGCUUUUUCUGUUGUGUUCCAGCCUUUGAGUGAUGAAAGAAUUCCAGGGCCACCAUCCAAACAAAAUAGAUGAAAAUCUAACCUUUGUUGAAAAAUGUCAAAAUAGUGACCAUUCUUUUUCAAAACUAUUUCAAAAAUUAAAAUAUGUAAUCACACUGUAAGCUUUAUUUUCUGGACAAUAAAAAGGUAAGGCCGUUCUUACCA
rnacentral:lncRNA from 1 species